CACGGAAUUAGCCGGUCCUUAUUCGAAAGGCAAAUGCAAAAAAGCACACGUGCCUUCAUUUACUCCCUAACAAAAGCAGUUUACAACCCAUAGGGCCGUCAUCCUGCACGCUACUUGGCUGGUUCAGACUUACGUCCAUUGACCAAUAUUCCUCACUGCUGCCUCCCGUAGGAGUUUGGACCGUGUCUCAGUUCCAAUGUGGGGGACCUUCCUCUCAGAACCCCUACUGAUCGUAGCCUUGGUGAGCCGUUACCUCACCAACAAGCUAAUCAGACGCAUCCCCAUCCUUUACCGAUAAAUCUUUGGUUCAAAUCAGAUGCCAUCAAUGAACAACAUCGGGUAUUAGGCCGUCUUUCGAACGGGUAUCCCCAAGUAAAGGGCAGGUUGAUACGCGAUACUCACCCGUGCGCCGGUCGACGUCCAAAAUGUGCAAGCACAUAAUGCCGUUUCCCCUCGACUUGCAUGUGUUAAGCUAUAGCUAGCGUUCACUCCUGUACGCCAGGACUACUAAAACUCUCG
rnacentral:rRNA from 1 species